UAGUAUUUUUUCCACUAAUCAUGUCAUUAUUUCCUGUAUGCCCAAGUGUACUUUAUUCUCUUCUGGAUCCACUUCCCACCUUGACUCCCCUUCUCGAGAGAAGAAAUGCUUAUAGUUACAUAAUGGAUCUCCACGGAAAAAUCAGCUCAGGUUAUAUUAAACUUCUUGUACUUGGCUAUUUGAAAUUUUCAUUGUAAGUGCCUGAGAACACAAGGAAGGAUGAAAAUGGAAUGCGAGGAAUCAGAUUCUGAAGAAAAGAAAUAAGCACAUAAAUGAACACAUGAUGGUAAAAACAGUUUGGAUGGUGAAUCAAAUCUGCCAAUGACCAGAGAAGAGCCUGCUCAUGUGUUUGGGAAAAAUGACAAACAAAACUCAAAACUUAAAGCUUCUGCAGUUCCUUAAGUUGAAGAAAGAGUAGAGGACAACAGAGGGUCCUUAUCUCAGUUUGUUUCAGCCCAGAGAGCCUGCUGAAUGAGAAGCCUUUCCAUUAUUAUUGAUGACCGACACAAGCAGAAAAAUGGCCACGAUUGUACAAC